rnacentral:rRNA from 1 species
UACGUAGGGCGCAAGCGUUGUCCGGAAUUAUUGGGCGUAAAGAGCUCGUAGGCGGCUUGUCACGUCGAUUGUGAAAGCCCGAGGCUUAACCUCGGGUCUGCAGUCGAUACGGGCUAGCUAGAGUGUGGUAGGGGAGAUCGGAAUUCCUGGUGUAGCGGUGAAAUGCGCAGAUAUCAGGAGGAACACCGGUGGCGAAGGCGGAUCUCUGGGCCAUUACUGACGCUCAUGCACGAAAGCGUGGGGAGCAAACAGG